rnacentral:rRNA from 1 species
UUCACUUUGCCAGAUGACAUAAUAUAUGCUAUGGAGAUUUCGAGAAUGUCAAGAGAAGUUGGUUGUUAUCCUGAUAUCUACAUUGCUUAUCACAUCUUAUUUACUAUACCUGUGACUAUCGUAUAGGCCGGAAGAAGUUUUUUGAAGUUGAAAUUAUUGAGGAACUAUCUGAGGUCACCAAUGACCCAAGAGAGGUUAUAUAGUUUGGCAACAUAAUGGAAUCGAGAAGAAAAUAUUGGAAGAUAUUGGCAACGACCCCAUCAUAAGUGA